UGAUGUUAGUUUAUGAUUGGGUCGUGGCCGAGUGAGUGGUAGUCUUGAUUAUGCUCCUUUUUAGUAGAGUAUUGGAAGGGUGCAUUAUGGCAUUUAUGCAUGGCUUGGCAGUAUCUACAGGACACCUAUAGUCGAUGGGGUUGAACAUCGGCCUGUGUGCACAUAGUAGCCUUCUGGGUGGGCGGAGCCUAGUCCCUUCCUAGGGAGGGACACGGCCCUAGGCGUAGGAUCGGCCGGUCCUACGACUUAUAUUCUGCUUGCCGCCGGGCAUAGUAAGACCCCGCGAGGUGCAGUAUGGCUUUCCGCGGAUGUAGAAU
rnacentral:lncRNA from 1 species